rnacentral:rRNA from 1 species
AUGGAUGAUGAGGGUGCGCUCACCCAAGAGGGCCAUGAGCUUGAUGAUGACAUGAUUUUGGCGGACGCUCAAGCUCGGUCCGCAUAUGUGUUCAAGCCUAGGCAGCCCAGACGCCGGUACACGCCCAACGACUAUGACAACAGAGGCAACCCAAAGGUGGUCGUAGGGACCUCACGGAUGGCUAGCUUGGAUGAUGAGGCGGAGGAGGAGGCGGAGGCGGAGCCGCAGGCGGAGGAGGAAGUGCACGAAGAGGAUCCUCGUGCUCCUAAGAAGAAGAAGAUUGCCUGCAGGCGUGACACCAGGAACACGCGCGGAAGGCAUUAG